UACGUAGGGAGCAAGCGUUAUCCGGAUUUACUGGGUGUAAAGGGAGCGUAGACGGCAGGGCAAGUCUGGAGUGAAAGGCAGGGGCCCAACCCCUGGACUGCUCUGGAAACUGUCCGGCUGGAGUGCAGGAGAGGUAAGUGGGAUUCCUAGUGUAGCGGUGAAAUGCGUAGAUAUUAGGAGGAACACCAGUGGCGAAGGCGGCUUACUGGACUGUAACUGACGUUGAGGCUCGAAAGCGUGGGGAGCAAACAGG
rnacentral:rRNA from 1 species